rnacentral:misc_RNA from 1 species
GAAAUGCGAUAAGUAAUGUGAAUUGCAGAAUUCAGUGAAUCAUCGAAUCUUUGAACGCACAUUGCGCCCGCCAGUAUCCUGGCGGGCAUGCCUGUUCGAGCGUCAUUUCAACCCAUCAAGCCCACGGCUUGUGUUGGGGACCUGCGGCUGCCCGCAGGCCCUGAAAACCAGUGGCGGGCUCGCUAGUCACACCGAGCGUAGUAGCAUACGACCUCGCUCAGGGCGUGCUGCGGGUUCCAGCCGUAAAACGACCUUCGCAACCCCAAGGUUGACCUCGGAUCAGGUAGGAGGACCCGCUGAACUUAA